rnacentral:rRNA from 1 species
UUCUACGGCCUUGCCACCCUAAACAUGCCCGAUCUCGUCUGAUCUCGGAAGCUAAGCAGGGUUGGGCCUGGUCAAUUCUUGGAUGGGACCAAAUUUCCCCCAGGGGUGAAAU